AAUUUUAAAUGCCAAUAGACCUCCAAUUCUUCACCCCUAUAAUGCAAUUUUAAAUGCCAAUAGACCUCCAAUUCUUCACCCCUAUAAUGCAAUUUUAAAUGCCAAUAGACCUCCAAUUCUUCACCCCUAUAAUGCAAUUUUAAAUGCCAAUAGACCUCCAAUUCUUCACCCCUAUAAUGCCAUUUUAAAUGCCAAUAGGGUUUAACCAUCCACUAAAAUUCACGAAACCAUAAAGAGGUUUACCCUAUUAGCAUCAUGUUUUCUGCUGUCCCAAGAGCAUAUUUCUACAAUGUUGGAAAAGCAGUCCCAAGAGCAUCUACAAUGUUGGGAAAGCAGUGAAUAUUUAUUCAAGAAGUUCGGCUAAAGUUCUUGAGAUAAACGAAUUGGAAAAAAAAGCUCAUCCUUGUAUGAGAUCAAUGGCUGUCAUAACCAAUUAAAUAAGCUGAGAACAUUUGCGUGAUUUGUUCCAAGUCCCUGGUAGAAUCUUUUAUUCCUUCUCUUCGUGAACCUUCUGAUGACAAACAGUAUGCGUGGGAAGAUGUAAUUUGACAGUGAUGGAGUUCAUUGUAAGAAAAACUAAAAGAAAAGACACUAACCUAACAACAAAAUAAGACACCUAGAGGGAGGUAGGGAGGGAGUCCCGAAAGGUUAUCUGUUGAUUGAAUACCAACCUCCAAUUCCUUUUCUUCCAUCUGUUCCUCCAUUGGUCAGUGACGGAAAGGAUUGAUUUUGUAAUAUAACUAUUUUCUUGGAAGUUAUCUUUAAUCUUAUCUGAAAAAGUGUGUGAUUUAGCUCUGAAAUCUACUGAUUGGACGAAUAGCUGCAUCGCAUUGAGUUAGACGCUGAAAUUGAUUAGACUCUUAUUAGGUUUGAAUUAACAGGUCUUGAUUGUGUGGCUGUUGGAGUUGGAAUGAGAGUUUUGUGAGAAUUUUGUGGAGUAUAUAUGAGAAUAUAUAUGUUCAAGAGAAAAAUUUAAAUGAAUAAUGGAUAAUUCUAGUAUUCAUGUGUCAGAAUUGCUAACACUGAUUUUAUAAUUCUAUCCUAUCCUUCAGGAAGAUGACUUGCCAUACUCCCUUUAUACGCAGGCUUCCUGCCUUCUGGGGGGCUACAUCAAUGCAGUAGCAGGAAAAGUUAUGAUGAGCUGUAUUCUGGAAAACUAAUUUAAUUUAAAGGCUGAAUAUACACUAAUGAACUACUUUACAGGAGUCUCCUUAUUCUGAAAUUUCUAUUAUGCUGAAGGGCUAAAUUGUUGCAAUCAUACCAUAUGAUCUGAUAUUACCAUUUUUGUAGCAUGUUCUUCAAAAGAUAAUACUUAAAAUUUGUUUUGCUUGCUUGUCUGUUAAUUACAAAUAUGCUUUCAUGUACUUUGUAAUAGAAUGAUUCUUGAACUUCUUCCUUUGUGUUAUAUUACAAUCACGUGCAACGCACGUGCCCUUGCUUGUAAACUAACAAGGCAUUUUUUGACUGACUAUUGUG
rnacentral:lncRNA from 1 species